rnacentral:rRNA from 1 species
GCAGCCGCGGUAAUACGGAGGAUGCGAGCGUUAUCCGGAUUUAUUGGGUUUAAAGGGAGCGUAGACGGGAGAUUAAGUCAGUUGUGAAAGGCUGCGGCUCAACCGCAGCACUGCAGUUGAUACUGGUUUCCUUGAGUUCGGUUGAGGUAUGUGGAAUUCGUGGUGUAGCGGUGAAAUGCUUAGAUAUCACGAAGAACUCCGAUUGCGAAGGCAGCAUACUAAGCCGAUACUGACGUUGAGGCUCGAAAGUGUGGGUAUCAAACAGGAUUAGAUACCCC